AUGACAAGAAGGUAUUGGAACAUUAAUUUGAAAGAGAUGAUAGAAGCAGGAGUUCAUUUUGGUCAUGGUAUUAAGAAAUGGAAUCAUAAUAUGACCCCUUACAUUUCGGUAAAGUGUAAAGGUGCUCACAUUAUAAAUCUUGCUAGAACGACUCGUUUUUUAUCAGAAGCUUGUGAUUUAGUUUUUGAUGCAGCAAGUCAGGAAAAAAGUUUCUUAAUUGUGGGUACCAAAAGAGCAAGGGAUUUAGUAGCAUCAGCUGCAAUAAGGGCUCGUUGUCAUUAUGUUAAAAAGUGGUUCAGUGGUAUGUUAACGAAUUGGUCGAUUACGAAAACUAGAUCUCAAUUUAGAGACUUAAGAGUAGAAGAAAACAUGGGAAAAUUCCACCAUCUCCCAAAAAGAGAUGUGGCAAUCUUGAAGAGAGUAUUAUCUACCUUGCAAAGGUAUCUCGGUGGGAUCAAAUAUAUGACGAGAUUGCCAGACAUUGUGAUCAUCCUUGAUCAUCAAAAAGAGUAUAUAGCUCUUCGGGAAUGUGCCAUUUUGGGGAUUCCUACUAUUUCUUUAGUCGAUACAAAUUGUGACCCGGAUCUCGCGAAUAUAUCGAUUCCAGCCAACGAUGACACUAUGACUUCAAUUCCAUUGAUUCUUAACAAAUUAGUAUUUUCAAUUUGGGAGGGUCGUUCUCUCUAUAUAAGAAAUCGUUCAUUAAGAAUAUAUAGUGAAUUCUUGGGCAACUGCGUAAAUUUAUGGAAUCACUUAGUUUACUAG
rnacentral:rRNA from 1 species